rnacentral:lncRNA from 1 species
GCUGCGCCCAGGGGACGCCCAGCCACAGACCCCUGGGCCCUGAUGGCUCACAUUCAUCUCGCCCCGAGAUGAGCCUGGGGGGGGCCACCGGGCAGGGAGAGGACCUGCCUGCGGCUGGGGAUAGCAGCCACCACAAGGAGGGAGAGCCAGCCCGUCGCCCCCUGCCCGUCCAGGAGGACUCAGCAGCCCCCAGGGCCCGGGCAGCCCACACCUCUCACAGGCCUGCAGCCCCUUUCCCUCUCCCCGCUGUGUCUCUGAGAGUUUGUCAAGUGAUGUCCCCUGGCAGGGGGUGGGGGCAGAACACUGAAAUGGGAACAAGGAUCCCAUCAAAGACAAGCCCUACCGUCCUGCCCUAAAGCCAGUGCCCAGCUCUUCCCGCCCCUGGAGCCACUGGAGGGGCCUUCGAUUCCAUGAGGACCGAAGCCUGAGCUCUCCCUCGCCUUCCACCCUGAAACCCAGUCUCCUGGAGCUGUGGGAGCAGAGAUUACACACAGGGGUCAUUCAAGACCUGCCUCCGCUGCUUACAAGUUCAGGACCUUGGGUGGACAUGAGGACCAGCAAGGCCGCAGAGCCCUGGUCUGGGGCUGGUGCCCCGUGUGCGGAAGUUGGCUGGUAUCACUGUGGCGAUUACUGCCUGCUGACUGCUUUCCUGGCCGGGCCUUUGGGGCCGGGUUUGGACCCCAGCAGAGAGCUACCCCGUAGGUGCUCACUCAACCUGGGACAUGAACAGGAUGGGGGCAGCCCCAGGAUGCUGCACCUGUGCCAUCAGCAAACAGCACGGGUCCCGGGGAGCCUGGCAAGAUGCUUUUCCAAGCAGUUAGUUAGUUUCUCUGGGGACUUGAGCAUCUGUUCCUGGUGGGGCUGAGCAAUCAAGCAGGUCCUUCCUCCUCUUUCUCCAGGAGGCAGGGGCUGGGCCCGGCCUCCUCAUCCCCUUGUCCCCCCUCCCCCCCAGUUGUCCACCAUAAUUAGGCUCAUUGCAGCUCAGGAGGGGGCGUCCGUGCCCCCUCUCCACCCCCAGACUCAGGGUGGCCCAGGCUGGGGGUCUCCCCUCCCUCAAGGGCAUUGCUGCCCCUUCUGAAGGUGGGUGGGGCGCCCUGGCCAAGCCUGCGGCAGGGGUGGGCUCUUCUGUCCUCCUCCCAUCCCAGCCCCCAGCCCUGCCUGGGCCCUCGCUCCGUGGUCAGGGGCGCCUGGGGCUCGCCAGGGCCCAGGCAGGCUGCUCUCGUCAUUAGCGGCCGGCCUCGCUCCAAGUGAAUUAGCUGGUCCUCGGGGAGCGGGUGCUGAGGCCUGCAGGCUCCUGGCACUGGCCAGUGAUUCAUUCCCACAGCCUCACCCCCGCCUGAGGCCAGCGGCGUCCCUGCCCCCAGCCCACCGGCCUGAUUGGAGGCUGAGGAGCGGGAGGCUGGUGCCCAGAGCAGCCCUGGCUGCCCAUCCAUCUGCCCCCUCAUCCUAUUAACCCGGCUGCUCCCGUGCCCUCCCGGUGGUGCUGGCCUCCAUCCGCCGGCCCCUCCCACACGCAGGCCUGGUGGCCCUGGCUCUGAGCCCGGCCCUGGUUCCGCCGACCUGGCCUGCCCCUCCAGGCUCUGUCUCUGCUCCCUUUGUCCCCUGGGCACCUCGAGUGACCCAGAGAGGCCCCCUCAUCCUUUCCCCCCUCCCUCUGGGCCUUCCUGCCCCCCUCAGCUGAGGCCCUGGGAUCCGCUUAACUGGUCUUGAUGAAAAACAGAGGCUCUACCCAUGUCGAGGAGGCUCCUGGUAACGGGCCGGGGCUGGUCCCCACCAGCCUGGGGCCGGGGCCCUGCUUAGAGCUAAGGUGGAUGCGAGGGCACAACCUUGGUCUCGGCCACAAAAGUCCUUAGGAACCCACUCGUAUCCCUUCAGGGACCCCCCCUCCCCCUUCCUUUACUCGGCAGGAGGUAGGCGUCCAGCAGCAGGUGCGAAGGAAUCGAUGCCUCCCCCCACAGCACAUGUGACGUCUCCGCAUCCACGCAGGUGACCUGCAUCUUGACAAACCUCUCUGGCUUGAAAACCCUCCUACUGCAGCUGCAGAGUGGAAAGCACCUGCAUCUCAGGGCCAGAGACCUGGAUGCGAGGGCAGGCCUCUUCUCUACAGGCUGGACCAUCACGCCUCUGAGCCAACAGGCCCUUGAGGUCACGUGGAGCUGAUCCCUCGCCCAGGCUGGCUGUGAGGAUUAGAGGCGUUUUAUCUUGUGCAGGGGAUGCGGGGCAUAGAGAUACCACCCCAAAGGCAGCCACAGAGGCCUCGCUCAACAUGCUCUUCCUGGGGGGGCCUCCCGAGCACAUAUGUGUGCAAUUUCCCCUUAUUGUUCUAUAAUCCUUGAUGGUUGCUCUGUAAUUGCUCUCAAAUGGUUUCAUUAUAAUAAAUAGCAUCUGCAGAGCAGUUGAUAGUUGUACAAACUCUAACUCUUCCCUCAUCCCCUUCCCACCUUUACAAAAAGGAACUGAGGCUCAGAGAAGUUAAUUGACUUCCCAAAGACCACACAGCGAGGAAGCAGAGCUCACCCCCCCGCCCCAGGCUCUGGGGCCUACUGGUCUCCAGGCCACCGUGUCCCCAGUUCCAGGCCGGGGAUGGAGGCACAGGGAGCGAACUCUGCAGGAGGCAAAGAGGGCCCGUGGGAUCUGAGGGCCGAUGGGGAGGUGGGCACUUGGCUGGGCACCCUGGCAUUCAUGCGGCGUUGUGUGCUCACCUGUGUGUGCAGGUGGGUGUUCAGGCUGAGACCAGGUGAUGCCUGAAGGGGACUUAUUAGGGAUUAUGCCUCCCAAGGGGGGAUGUAGGACUAGGUUAGUUCCACAGUCCCCUUCUGUUCUUAGGUGGAGGUGAUGUGGAACCUUCUAGAAAAAGACUGGACCGAGUGAAAUGCUUUCAUUGGAAUUGAGAGCCUUUCAGGCAUGUGCCCAGAGAAGCUGUGAUAGAGAAGUUUGGUGAUUUCCUUAUGUUUGUCGUCGUUGUUUUGAUCAGAAAACGGAGGCUCAAGGGACGUAUGUGGACUUGUCCCAGAGGCACAGUGAGGCGAGGAUGGAAGAUGGGGACUGUGAAGGCAGGGGCCACAGGAGGGGGGCGCUUCCAGAGGAAAGGGGAGGGGGGCAGGCAGGCGCGAUCAGCGGGGAAGGCCCCCAGUCGAUGUGGAGCAGCCUCGUCAUCUCUGAGUCCCAGUUCAGAAGAUGCCUCCUCCAGGAAGCCCGCCCUAACUGCUCUUUCAGAGCCGGUCUGCUCUUUCCCCUGGGUUCUCGCUGUUCUGACCCUUGUCAAACUAAGUGUGGCCCUUCCUGACUGUGCUGCCUCCCUCACUGGGUGGGGAUCAGGGCAGGGAGCCUGUGUGUGUGUGUGUGUGUGUGUGUGUGUGUGUGUGUGUGUGUGUCUGUGCAUGCGAACUAACAUUUGGGAAGAUUUGGAAAUACGGAAAAGUGCAAAGGAAAAUAAAGCAACACCCUUGUCCCCGCAGGGACUGGCCUUGUGCCCCAGCCCCUAGAUGGGAAGGAUGCUUGCAUGACGCAUGCA